rnacentral:snoRNA from 1 species
UUCCACAGCUACUGGUCUGCAGCUGUUCUUAAUGGUAGCAGUUGUGGCAUUCCUCUGUGGAAAACAAAACAAAACAAAACUGUUACCCAAUUAAAUGCCUUUUUCUUAGCUAAAUGGGAAGGUGGCAUAUGCAUGACAGACAUAA